ensembl:snRNA U1 U1 spliceosomal RNA
AUACUUACCUGGUAGGGGAGAUACCAUGAUCCCAAAGGUGCUUUUUUCCCAGGGUGAGGCAUAUCCAUUCCAUUUGGGAUGUGCCGACCCCUGCGAUUUCCCCAAAUGUGGGAAACUCGACUACAUAAUUUGUGGUAGUAGAAGACUGCAUUUGCACUUUCCCC